AGGCAUGCAGGAAGAGUCUCAGGGUUAGGAGCCCACAGGCUGGACUCACUCCAGCCUCUGCAGAGUCAGAACGGAGCCUCAGGAGGGAUGGCUCCGCAGCAAGAAUGGCCCUUUGGUUAACCCAUGACAACCCUCGGCACAGCCAGGGGCUUGGCUACUCAUUCUGGUGCCCCGUGGCUCAGCUGAGGACUUUAGAGUCUAAUCCUCAGCUCGGAUCAGAGGGCGGCUUGGGCCACCAGCACCUACCUGAGGCUGUGGCCGCCGUGGCCUCUGCUUUGUCUGGAACCAGCCUGAUGCCAUCAGACACGUCCACCUGGUGAUCAGCCUCCUCCCUUGAGGCCCCAUCAUGCUGUGGUGACAGAGGACUGCCUCUAA
rnacentral:lncRNA from 1 species